UAAACUCCCCCAUCUAUAGCUUCAUUAAUCACUCCCAUCUGCCGCCUUCAUCAAUUAACUCCCCCAUCUAUCUACCAUACUGUCAAUAUACCAGCUUCAAUUAAACCAUUACUUACAUCAGACGACUUACCUGACCAAUGCAACUUGUGGAUGUAAAUUUUGUUAGCUGAAGAAGAAGAAGAAGCAGAUUCAAGCAGUAGUAAGUAAGCAUGCAGAUAACUGAGAUUACAUUCUCCAUAAUACAAGGGAUACUUACGACUGGAGAUGAGGAAUAUGGAAAGUUUUACAAACCGUAUGCUACUUUAAUUAUACAAGUUCUAAAGAUAGCAAUAUGUGCUACGAGUGGCCUAGACUACUUUCAUAAUACGAGAAUGGAUUGGUACAACUGUCAACCACGAAUACUUGCUGGGCAUACGCAACCAUUGGUUGCAUAGAGGCAUUCAUGCAUAUAAUGAACCGUCCACAAAUUUUUACUCCUCUAAGCAUUCAACAGUUAGUUGAUUGCUAUGACAACUAUGAAAAUCCAGAAGCAGAAGGGAGUACGUUGCCUAUAAGAAUCAAGGAAGAGUAUAUAGCGAAACUCAUUAUCCUAGUAGGAAUGGUAACUCUAUCCGUAGGGGGGAAUGCACAACUCAAAUGCUACAACCAACGUUUACGAUCGACGGAUUCGAUGCGAUUGAGAAAGACGAGCGGUCUAUUGAAGCCACCGUACGGUUACACCCUGUAAACGCAAGGGUCGCAUCUAAAAUCUUAAUAGAGACACAUGAUCAGGCAGUGAGAAAAGUUUAUCAAUAAUUUGUUUUUAAUUGUUGUUUAUUCUGAUUAUUUUUCUUUCUUUCAGAAUCAUAUUAUUCGUUAAGCUGAUGUCGACAAGAAUCGUAAACUUGAUCAUAGCGUUUUGAUAGCUGGCUAUGGGACAAGAAUCGUAAACUUGAUCAUAGCGUUUUGGUUUUACGGGUUCGUAGUUAAUCAAGUCAGGUCUUUUCGGGUCGGAUUCGGUGAUCGGGUCUUGGUUAAAUAGUACGUGGUAGAGGAGUUAGUCACUAUGUCUUUAGAAGAAAUUAUUUAUUUUAUUGUUUUUCAUGUAAUCAUGUUGCUUUGUAAAUGCUAUUUAUAGCCAUUUGCAUAGUAACCAUUUUUCUAUUCGAAAUAGUAGUUUUCUUCUAUAUUUGAGAAUUGAAGUAAACAGUGUUUUUUAUUUUUUUA